GAGAAAGGGGGAAGUAGGCUCCCCUGCUGAGCAGAAAGCCGGAUGCAGGGCUCAAUCCCAGGACCCUAAGACCAUGACCCGAGCUGAAGGCAGAGGCUUAACCCACUGAGCCACCCAGGUGCCCUGACUUCCUCAAUUUAAAUUCAGCAAAACAGCAGAGUAGUUCUAAUGCUCCUUCUGUGAAUCUGUGUGCCAAAUACAAGAGGCAGAGUUACAAUAAUGAAGAGGAAGACAAUGAAAAGGAAAUCGAACAUGAAGGAACAGACUCAGAGACAAGAGAAAAAAACUUGAGAGGACCAAAGAACUUUCUGUGCUUCAGUUUCCACACUGCCUAGAAAGAGCAAGUACCCCAUCUCUCCCUCCACCAAACUGUGACAAUAAGUGAUGUCGAUGCUGAGUGGCUAGAAAUCAGACAAUUCCAAAGAGGCAUCCAGAGACCAUCAGCUUAUGUUGAAGCCUCCACCUUUCCUUUAGUCAAGCCCUUCAAUUCAUUUUGGAGCCAUGGCCCAAGCCAGAAGUCUGGAGAUCUAAGGUGCUAAUCCCAGCUUUCUGGAUGCACUACUUCUUGCUUUCACGUGGAAAAUACCAUAUGGAAUUCAUAUGACCCAUGCAAGGGCAGUUGAGCUUCUUUAAUAUUCACAGAUAUAUCGGCCCCUGGAUUAAAUCUGGGAUUUAAUAGACCAGACACCAAUCCCCUGACAGAGGCUGAAAUUUGCAACCAUUACCCUACUCCAUAGAAGAAUGGGUAUCCCUGGUUCUGUGCAGUGAGGGAGUAUACAAGGACUCGAAAGCUGCUCGCAUACCCAUGCUUAGACUUUGCGGACUUCAGGCUGAAGGGAUGAAAUUGUGCUCUCAGGUCUCUCCCAGACACUUGAGAUAACCAGAACACCAGCAAUGGAACAGCUUCAUCAAAGUUGGGUUUGGUUUGCUGAGUAAUAGCUUGGAAGAAGAAUUUUGUUUGAAUGAGUUUUAAAUUAUGAGGAUUACGUGCAUGGAUGAGAACAUGAGGAGCAAAUGAGUGAGACUGUAAGACGGGGAAAAGCUGGAAACAAGAAAAAUCAAAUCCAUCAACUCAAACACACCCUCGAGUCCCAGUGAAGAGAGCAUGGUACAAUGGAAAACUCACAAAUUGGGCAAUCAGCUGCUUCCAAAUUCCUGGUCAGCCCCUGGUAGCUGUGGGGCCUUAGGCAAGGCACGUGACCCUUCUGAACUUCUACAUCUUCACAAAAAUAUCUUUGAACAAUACCUAACUAGCAAGAAAGAUUAGAGAUGAUCUGUGUGGAAGUGCAUGACACAAUACCCUGUCCACAGGUAUGUUUAAUAAAUGCCCUAUUAUUACCUCUUAGUCAUCAUUCGCUAUUGUAAUCCCCUGGAACCAAUGUGAAACAGAUCCUUAAGAAAUUAAAACCAACCGACUGUCCAGCCAAAAUAGAAGCAGAUACUGAGCUAGAAACACACACUUGACAAGAAAAAAAAAUUUUUUUUUGUAGCCAUAGCAAGAUCAAGCAAGGAAAAAAAAAAAAAUAAAAGAUAAUGUUGGAAUAUUAUGGAAAAAUAUUUUGAUAUACCCAGAAGGAAUAAGUUUUGGUGGACUUCAUAGCUAAGUAUCAGGAAACCAGAGUCCACCAGCUACAUCAUAUCACUCUUGGUAAGUGCAGCCAUGUUCCAAAGCAGAAGUGUCCAGAGGAAUCACAGAUAAAGAAAGCCGGGCUACCAAAUUAAAAUUACAGACAUCCAAUGAAGAAAUUCGUUAUGUACUGGAUAUAAUAGCAGCAGAUGACACCCUUUCUAUGGAGAAGAUUAAUAUGCUGACUUGAGAGGUGGGAUUCUGGCCACUGGAAAGGGGUGUCCAAGCGGAGCCAGCGAAGUUCUCCUCCUCCCAGAGUUCCUCCAUGAUGGCCCAUGGUACAACAGUGGUCAAGAGCAGAAGGACGGCACUCAGAGACUGACUUGAAGACCAGGAAAAGAAGUAAAACUGCAACAACUGGGACCCACAACAUUCCUUAAGAAUUUCUCUGCAAAAGUUUCACUUCUGCAGGGACUGAAGAGUGGGAUCACUUCAAGAAAGACACCCUGUUCUUGGGUCCUAGAUGCCAGAUUCUGGACAGCAGCAUUAUCCUACAACACACAGGAAAACCAGAGUAGAAACCAUCAGGUGUAGAAUCACUUAAAGUACUAAUAUCAUGUCCUAAAUCCUGCGAAAUAAGAUAAAUAUAUCGUAUGAACCAAUAAUACAAGGCCUCCCUGUGUUCGCAGAACAGCUCUACUGUAUUCAGUCUACAAGUGUAUAUUCUAGCUAUAAGGAGUUUUGGACAUGUAACGGACAGUAAUUAUCUUCUUAGAAUUCAGUAGUUUUUGGAGGCAGUGCUACAAAUGGCCUAGCUCUCAUAACACAAACCAAACAAACAUGAACUCUAAGCCGAGAACUUCAUUCAGCUGCCUUCUGAUUCUGGUCACAUAUGCUAAAUUAAACAAGGAAGCCAUUAGACUGAGGUGACUUUAAUCCUUUAGUCCCCUAGUGAGCGAACCCAUACCUAAUCCUGUAAAUGCCUCAAGGUUAAGAACCUGAAACCUAAGGACAACUACUCACAACAAACAGCCAACUAGGCCUCCCAAGCAAGGCAACCGCUUACGCUACAGCCGAAUCCAAUCAUUCCUUCUCUUGCUUCCCAGUCUUCCCUUUGAAAGUCUUUCCUCUGACUCCUAACUACUCUAGCGAGUCUCUGCCCAAUUAGAAACCCUGUUUACUCAAGCUAGCAAUUUAAUAUGCCUCAGUUUACCUUUUAGCACAUUCAAACUCAGUCCUGAAUACCUUAUCUCCUAUCUUACGGUCAUGUCCUCUGACUUUUAAAAAGGGAAAUGUCUUAGAAACCAUCUGGCCCACCCCACCCACUCUCACCCUGUGACCAUUUAAAAUAAGGGAACCAAAACUCAGGGAGGCUGAGGGAUGCCCAAGAUCAUGAUUUUAAUUUUAUCCUUCCUUCUGUGAAUGCUAAACAAAUCAUUUUAAUAAGACUUAACAGUAUCCACAUAGAUCACUGCUCCCAGCACAUAUGAGUGAACAAUGCUACCCUGUCGUGAUUGACAGAAAAAGUGAAAUGAAAGUUAAAUGACAUGUCAUGCUUUCUCACAUGAGAAACCUACUUUGUGGAAAGUAGCCACAAACAAAUAAUGUGGAUGUUCAUACCAGACCAGGGAUAAUUUAGAAACAAAAAGUAUGUCCAGUUACAUGAAGCUUAUAGUGAUAGCCCUCCAAGUAAUUCACAGAGAAGCAUUUUUUCUUUUUUUUAGAUUUAUUUAUUAUUUAUUUGACAGAGAGAGAUCACAAGCAGGCAGAGAGGCAGGCAGAGAGAGAGAGAGGGAAGCAGGCUACCUGCUGAGCGGAGAGCCCGAUGUAGGACUUGAUCCCAGGACCCCGAGAUCAUGACCUGAGCCGAAGGCAGCAGCUUAACCCACUGAGCCACCCAGGCACCCCACAAAGAAGCAUUUUUUAAAUUAUCAUUUUUAUAGAGCUGUAUUUUUUAAAUAACUUUAAAAAUAUUUCACCAAAAUGAUUAUUUCACAAAAUUUCUGAAAGUCUGAAAAUUGAGCAGAGCUUCCUCUAAUUCCCCUUCUCCCUCUCUGAGCCACCACCAUCAGUCCGCACUCGACUCUGGCUCCACUGGCUCGGCAUGAGUCUGCAAAACCCACCAUUUUGGUGCUCACCCUGUUGGCCUCUGGACAGAAUCACUCUGGUCUGUUCUUAGGUCAUUUUGCCACAAACAAGUACGUCCCUGUCUGAAGCUCACUGGUCCUUUUGUGUGCCUUUUGUGUGCCUAAGACCUACUUUCACAUCCUCUAUAUGCCAACAGCAAAUGGACUCCACAUUGCAACCUAAACCCUACCCAAACCCAUAAAAAUAAGUGGCCAUCCAAGCCCCUACAAGCAUCAAUUUAUUAAAUGGGUGCACGAAACCAACAUGAGAAUAAAUCAGCCUGCGUGCUGUCAGUGAACUCAGCUUUCCAUAUAAAAUUCUUCACACACUGGCCAAAUGUAAGCCCACUCCUAGCCCCCACCAACGUGUAUAUUUAAAAUCAUCCCACAGAGGACCUCUUCUUCCAUACAAUGCACCUCAGAGAUUUGGAUGAUUCACCCACAGCCUGUACGAUCCUGGAGAUCAGCUGAUAGAAUAGCAAUGGUGGGCACUGAGGGGCCAAUGAAAUGCAGAAACUAUAGGACGCAGGGUAUAGUAUUAUUUAUCAGUAACAAGUAAGUCACAUUAUCUCAAUCUGACACUCAUCUAAGAAUUCUAUGAAGUUGUCUGGUUCUGGAGGGGGCGGGAAAUCUCAAAAGAAAAAAAAAUGAGAGAGAGUAAGAACUAUAGGAAAAUGAGAAAUGUUUUGUUAUCAUGGAAGUCGGGAAAAAUUUUUCCUAUACUUAGUGAAGGAGAGUACCCACCAAUACAAAAAAAAAAUUAUGUGAGGUGAAAGGCAAAUUCAACUAAGUCCAAAUGUUACACUAUAUUCAAGGUAUCCAAUAAACUCUAAUUUUUAAAUACUAACAUAGGUCUACAAUUUUUAAAAGAGAAAAUCAGCCUCUCCUUGCCAUUAUGAAAUGACUAUUAAAUGCACCUCAGAGAUCUGGAUGAUUCACCCACAGCCUGAACGAUCCUGGAGAUCAGCUGAUAGAAUAGCAAUGGUGGACUACCUAAGGGACACCUGGCUGGCUCAGUUGGUAGAGAUGCAACUCUUGAUCUUAGGGUUGUGAGUUCCAAGUCCCAGGCUGGAAAUAAAAAUUACUUCAAAAUUUUAAAAAAAAAUUAAUAUUUUAUUUAUUUAUUUGCGAGAGAGAGAGAGAGAUUGAGAACACAAGGAGGGAGAGGAAGAAGCAGGCUCCCCCCUGAGUAGAGAGCCUGAGGUGGGGCUCAAUCCCAGGACCCCAAGAUCAUGACCUGAGCCAAGGACAGAUGCUUAACCAACUGAGUCACCCAUGUGCCCCCAAAAGUAAAAAAUAAAAAUCUUUUAAAAGUUUAAAAAAUAGGCACUUGUAGGUUGCCGAAUUAGGACCCUGCUCCCAGAAUCUUCCCCACAUGUGUUGGGUCCUGCCCUGAAUUCAGCCCCAUGAGUACAGCCACACAAAACAUCAAUCCCAACUCUUCUGUUGUUCCCUCCUUACCAUCACAAAUUGCCCCAACCCGUGCUUGCCAUUUCUGUCUCUUGCUUCUCCUAUUUCAAAAGCAGAAAGGUCUCUUUCCUUUCCAAACUGCUUCUUCCUAAGCUCCCACACAUAAUUUUGGUUGUAUCAGUCCCUUGCCUCUUCAGUCUACCAUUCUGUACCUAAAUACUCCCGUCUGAAUAUCACCAAAUGGUGCUUGCGUCUCCCAUUACCCUAACACUCCCAUUUACUCCUCCGGAGCACCAUGCUCUAGCAGCCUCUUUUCUGUUCUGCACAUCAUCGCCAAACUUUCAAAUGAACAGUGGGAUCCUCGAUGUGGCAGGCUUGGGUCUCACUGGCCUUGGACUCCUCACCACGCUAGCACAGUAAUGUCCCUUGAUAUAUUUGAGGACCAGAUGACUGAGGCCAAUCGUCUGUUUGUAGUGGUGAUAACGAUCACACCAUAGCUUCGCACCACCUGCAAUUGAGUCUAAUCAUAGGAGAAAGUGAGGUGGACUUGUCUUGCAGGCUGAGACAAUCUUGGAAUUAGACUGAUAUAUUCGUUGCAAGGGAGUUACAGGUGCAACACUGCCCAUUUAAGCGUGACAAUGAUUCACGUCAAAUGAACUUUCACUGCUAUUUCCAAUCCUCCUUCCAAUCUGAUAUUACAGCUACUGCUUAGUCACCAGGACAGCAAGCUCCUUUGCGUCAAAACCACCCUCCUCAAAAAUACCCCUGCGCUUCCACCCCUGGUACUCUAUCCAUUCUAUCACAUUACACUUUCCUCCACCAAGAUUCAGCUCUAGCAUCCGAUCCACAAUGCUCUCUGGCGUACAAAGCUUCAUUCCAUUCUCCUUCAAAAUAACUGUGGCAUGUUUUCAAUGGAAACCCGAAUACAUCACACAUGGUUAAAAAUAAUUCAAGCAAACAAAAGUUCUGAAUGAAGUUCUGAAUGAAACAUCUCCUUCACAAGACCAUAGUUCCUUGGCUGAGGAGCUUCUCAGUCUCCUAAAGGGCAGCCAUUACAUCAUUUUUUGAAAUACCCUUCCAGAAGUUUUCCCUCUCCUGGAAAUACACACAAAAUGCAGAAUAACUUUUUUAGAGGAACAGAAGAACACAAUGGACACUCUUGUACAACUUGAUUUUUGUUCUUAGCACAUUCAGGAACUUGUAAAUCUAAGUUAAUACAUGCGAAGCCCUUAGAACGGUUCCUGGCCCACAGCAAGGGCUAAGUAACAUUCAGGUGGAGUGUAUCAGAGGCCAUCCCAGCACUCAAGAGUUUCUACCAAUUAGACCCCAGAAGCAUACAAAUAAAGGCUGGGGGUUUCACUGGACAAGAGCUCCGGGGUGCUCUUCCCCCCCUCACAUCCAGAGGGCAUGUGAGGCAGAGGAUGUGAGGCAGACUCCCUGCAGACUUGGCUAUUACCUCUCCCCUUUGUGUGGCAUUUGGGGGAAAAGGCCACCCCGAGCUCACACUUCCGAACUAAAAUCACACCUCCCUCCCUCUAAUCCCCAAGUCUAAACAAUACGCCAAGGAGUAAAAACAAAACACGUUCUUGCACUUUGCCUUGAUGACAGGGCAAGAAGGAUACAUUCGGCCAGAUACGAUUAGCUUUGUGGCAUCAGCUCCCUGAACGUUCUGCCCGAGCUGGCUCAGCUCUGCACUAGGUCCCAGAAUGUUUCUAGAAGGUAAGCUGCAGUAACCUUGCCUCAGGCUCCGGUCCCAACCCUUCCUGUGUCCCCUAAUAAGAGCAGAACACACAGGAGGUGUGAAAUCAGAUGUGACUCCAGCGAGGACAAGGCCACGUGUUCCGCUAGCUUUGGGAGAUGACCGCAGAGUCCCUGUCAGUCCUCACGAGCAGUUUUCAGGUCAGAGAACUUGGGAAGCUCUGACGAAGGCGCCAGUUUUCGCCAUUUUCAGCUCCCUCACCUCAGGCCCGCAGCACUUCGGGCUCAUUUGCAUACCUGAUGAGCCUUUCACUGCCCAGGAUCUUUCCGCAGCCUACCCAGAAUGCACCUUGCCAGCCUGGGCACUGGGUGGGGGAGGGGCAGGGGCCAUGGGAGCUGGACUGGCAAGAGCUCUGUGAAUUUUGGCGUUUGGGGCAAGGGUGGAAUUUGGGAGAGCUUGUGACUGCAAUUAAAGGGAAGUUGGCAACUUAAACACUGCCCCUUAACAGUUAGUUGAGGGUCCAUUAAGUUUAAGCCCCCACCCCACCCCGCCCAGACUUCUUUGCAGGUACCUAUACCCCUGUGGGCUCGCGGACACAUGUGCACACAUUAACAGGAACCACUCAGCAACCGAAAAGAGGAGAAGCAGAAAGAGAAGGAAAAACAGUGGCAUCCUGAGGCUCACAGGGGAAGAAACAUGAGAGGCUUGACCCCUUCAUGUUACUUUACUGAGAGGCUUAUGUGGGGUGAGGGACUGGGUCAAAACAGGGUCUGUCUUAGACACCUGUUCUUGCCACCGACUCUCCCAAACGUUUCCCAAAGCCUUAGAGCGCCCGAUACACGUACACACAUAAGUGCACAUACAUAGGGAAAAUGAGCCUUCUUUUUUAACAGCUGCAGCUUCUUAACGGAAUGGACUUUCCACUGAGCCUGUUAUAUAAAUAACCCACAGCCUCUGUCAAAGAGAAUAUUAAAAAUAUUGAAGUUGAAUAAAUAGGGCAUAAUAAAUAAUUACAUAAAUAAUAAAUAAAUAGGGCAUAGUUUACCUAAAGUGGCACUUGGCCUGGCCACCUGGGUCAAUAGAGGUUCAGGGGCUACUGAGUGACCUCAAUUGUUCUGGACCAAAACAAAGAGAAACUUUUCUGAGCAAAAUAAUAAUCAGGUCAGCCUCCUAGAGCCUUAGGAGUGAACACAAAACCAAGGGUCAAAAGGACAGGACAGUGUCAGACCAACCUCAAGAGGAAGGCCCAGAAUGCACUGUGACAGUGUGUCAAGGCUGGAAUGUAGGCUGAGCAUUGUGCUGAAGGCAAACUGACCUUGUCCCCUGUGCACAGAUGUGAGAGAAAGAGGAGUGGGAUGUAAGUUUAGGGAAGGGAUCAGACACUCUCCAGGGAAGGAUGGAUGACAACUCCGCGCAGCUGUCUGGAAAGUUCAGGGCUGUUGAGCUGUUCCAGUGACUUUAGGGAAUUAAGAUGUUUGGAGUAGGAGUCCCAGACAAAAGUCUGAAUUUAGUCUGGCUUCCAGUUGCUCGGACCAAAAACCUUCGUGUCAUUCUUGACACACAUCUGCUCCAUUCCCAACACUCCCGCCAACAUCCAGUCUAUUAGGAAAUUCUAUCAGCCUUAUUUUCUCAAUAUAUCCAUUUCUGCCCAUUUCCCACCACGUCUGUGCUAUCUAUCACCCUGGUCCAAGUCAUUAUUAUUGCUCACCUUGAUUACUGAAAUAACUUCCCUACGGUUUUUGUUUCUAUCCUUGCUCACCUAUAUAGUCCACACAGCAGCCAGAGCGAUAAUUUGGUAAGUGAUAAAUUACUAAAUUCUCCAACUGAAACUAAUACUACACUGUAUGCUGACUAACUGGAAUUUAAAUAAAAACUUGGAAUUAAGGGGGGGGGUUGCAUGAUGUGAUAGGCAUUAGAUGAUAUUCACAACUAACAAAUCAUUGAACACUACACCAAAAGUAUGUAAAUGAUGUACUACACGUUGGCUAAUCGAAUUUCAGCAAAUAAAUAAAUAAAUAAAAACUUGUAGGAAGAAAAAUAAAUAUUUAUUUGAGCAGCAUAAAUAAACAAAUAAAUAAAAUGCAAGUCAACUUCUCUGCUGAAAAUCCUGUGAUAGCUUCCCUUCUCACUUAGAGGAAAACCAAAGUCCUUCCACUGCUUUACAAGGACCUCUAGGGAGUGGACCCAUGGCCACGAGGCCAUCACCUCCACCUCCUUACAGCCUCACUCAGUGCAGCCACACUGGCCUCCUCAUCCACCUGGAACUGAGCAGGACCGCUCCUGCCUCAGGGACCUGCUCAAAUGCAGUUCCCUCUGCCUGGAAAUGUCCUCCCCAGAUAUACUCAUGAUUCAUCCCUUCAGCUCCUUCAGGCUUUUUUUUUUUUUUUCCAAAUAUCGACUUCUCAUAAAGCUCUACCCCUUAAACUGUUCUAUUUCUUUUGUGCAUACAAAUUCCUCUUAAAGUGUUCUAUUUCUUUUCAUAUAAUUUAUCACUUUCUAAUGUUAUAAUAAGCACAUUUUCAUAUAUUGAACAUAUUUAUUACACAUUACAUAUUUAUUACACUACCUGUCUGUCUUUCCCCACACAAAAAUGCAAAGUUCCGUGAACACAGGUAGUUUUACAUAAUUUGUUAACUCAUGAAUUCUUUGAGCCUACUAGAUGGUCAAGAUAUAGAUGAUUCUCAACACAAAUCUUCUAAAUAAACAAAUACAGUCAUUUAGGUCAAAAGCCACUGAAUGGCUCCUUUGCCAGACCAGGAGCUCCUCUAUAAAAAGAAAUGUGGCAUCCAUCCAUUCACGCAUGUGAUUAGUAUUUAUUGCGCACCUAAUCUAUACCAAGCACUAUGCUAGAGAGUCUAAAAUACAAUGGUGAACAAAACAUGUCCAACUUCUUGCCUUCAUGGAACUUACAAAUUAGUGCCUAGAGACAGAUACUCAACACAUAACUGCACAAAUGAGAUCAUUACUACCAACGUAGUGUACCAUUAAAAUAGUCCAGGAAAAACUUUAUGUUUUGUACUGGGUUGGUGGUAGAGGAGGUGGAAAAAGCUAAGCAGAUUAAAGAUUAUUUAUUAAAGAAAAUGUAAUGGGAGAUAUAAAUGUAUUAGGUGGGGUUGGGGAGAAUAUAUAACAAAGGUAAGUCCCAAAGCUCUGGUUUAAGUAACUGAGUGGAUGAAAGUGCCCUUUGCUAGAGUAGUGGAGUCAGCUAAAUAAUGGUCCACCAAAGAUAUACAUGUUCUAAUCUCUGAAAUUUGUAAAUGCUAUCUUAUCUGGAAAAAAAAGACAUUUGCAGGUAUGAUUAAUUUAAGGAUCUUAGGAACAGGAAACUAUUCUGGAUUAUCUGGCUGGGCCCUACGUGCACUCACAUGUAAUCACAUGUAUCCUUAUAACACAUGUAUUCUUAUAAAAGGGAGAUCAGAAGAUAUGCGCGCGCGCGCACACACACACACACACACACACACACACACAAGGCGAUAUGAAGAUGGAACCAAGAGAAAUUUGAAGAUGCUGGCAUUGAAGAUGGGAGUGAUGGGAUCACAAGCCUACUAUGAUGAUUAAUUCUAUGUGUCCACUUAACUGGGCCACAGGAUGUCCACACAUUUGGUCACACACCAUUGUGGUUGUGUCUGUGAGAGUGUUUCUGGAUAAGAUUAACAUUUGAAUUGCAAGGCUGAGUAAAACAGACUGCUUCCCUAAUGUGGGUAAGCCUCAGCCAAUCAACUGAAGACCUGAAGAGAACAAAAAUGCUUAGUUAGAGGGAAUUCCUCCAGCCUGACUGAUUGAACUAAGACAUUUGUCUUUUCCUGCCCUCAUACUGGAGCUGCCAUGCCACCACUGGUCCUCCUCAGUCUCUAGUUUGCAGAUCUUGUAACUUCUCACCCUCCAUAGUUGUGUAUGCCAGUUCCUUGCAAAAAAAAAAACACACAUACACACACUAUUGAUUUCAGUUCUCUGAAAAACCCUAAUUAAUACACCAAGGAAUGCUGGAAGCCAUCAGAAACUGGAAGGAUCGAGAAACAGAUUCACCUUGAUUUCAGCUCAGUGAAACUGAUUUUAGAUUUCUGGCCUCCGGGACUCUAAGACUAUAAAUGGAUACUACAUUAAGCCAAUCUGAUUGCAGUCAGUUGUUACAAAAGUCACAGGACACUGACGAAAUGGGAAUCACUAUAAGAGGAGAUGUGGGGCAGGAGGGCAUCAGGAUUAGGUUUGGAACAUGAAAUCUGGGAUGCCUAUCACACACCUAGGGGAGAGGCAGGUCAAAUCAAGAUUUGGAAUGCAAGUAUGGAACUGAUGGAACGGUCUGAGCAGGGGUAUAAACCCCGGAGCCCACAGACUGGAAAGCAUAAGAAGCAGAGUAAAAGGAAGGACAGCUGAGUGCCACAUCCUGAAGCAGUCUCAACAGUGAGGGGUCGGGAAAGAGGAUAGCUUGAGAAAGAAGCAAGAGAGCAUGGGGUCUUGGAGGCCAACAGAGGUGAGAGUUUUUGAAUUACAUGGUCCUCAGCUCUGGAGCAGAACCCAGUGUGGAGGAGAUUUAAGAGUGAAUGGUCGAUGAGGCAGGAACAGCCUGUGUGGAAAAUUUAUCCUUAAAGUAUGUUUGGUUUGGAAAGUAAAUAAAGAGAGCAGAGAGUUGCCAGGAAUUUGGGGCUCUGGGAAGAUUUUUUUUUUGGGGGGGGGGGGGUCCUUAUUUUAAAUAGGAGAGUUUAGGGCAUCAGGGCAUUGUGCUUGGAAAAUUACCUGAGAGAAUAGAAACAAUUGGAAAUGCAAAUGAAGGUGAGGUUGCUGGCUGAAGCCUGAGAAGGCUGAAAGGGGAAGCACACACAGAGAGCAGGUCUUAAUCUGGGCUGUCAUCUAUGAUUUCCUGGGGAUAAUUUUAAAAUCUUACUGCCUAGCCUGCACCCAAGACAAAUGGCAUCAGAUUUCCUGAGUUAGGACCCAGACAUCAGUUGCUGUGCAUGCUUCCCAGGUGAUUCCAAGAAGUGGACCAGGGGCUUCAGAGCACACCCAGAAAUCAAGGCCUUGAGUCCAAGGAGCAUCAGGCACAGGUUGGAGGUUUGCUGGGUGUAAGUGAGGGAGUUGCCAACUUCACCGUUAUAUUUUCAAAAUUCAAGACAAGGUCAUGUGCUAAGUAUGUCCUGAGGAUAUAAUGGAAUAAGGGAAGACUGAGAGAGAAAGAAAAGGAAAAUAAGAUGACUUGGUUCAUACUGAGAAUGGAAAAGGGAAGAUGACCUCUAAUUGGCGAAACGUGGCAAGAGCGCUGAAAAGAUGACCUGUAAUUGGGGAAAUGUGGCAAGAGCGCUGCUAUAACUUACAGCUAUACCAUCCGUCCAUCCAUCCGUCCAUCCAUCCGUCCAUCCGUCCAUCCAUCCAUCAUUUGUCGGAAAGACACCAAACUAGGCAGUAAGGAUAAAACAUAAGCAAGACAAUGUCCUCACAGAUUUCACAAUUCAGUGAGAAAGUAGACAUAUACGUAAAGAGAAGAUUCAGGAGCUUCACUCCGUCAAAGGGAUAGUGGGGACCAUAACCCUUAUGGGGACAGGAGGCAUCUCCUCCCAUCACAGUACAUGGCACACAGGAGGCCCUCAGCCAUGUUCAUUGUACUCCCAGAACUUGACUGUUGUGGGGAAAGGGAGGGCAUAAAAUUGACAUGAAAUGACAAUUCAGCUUUUAUUCUCCAGACGUGACAAAAGCAGCUGCAAAAUUUAAUGACCUUACCAGCAGCAUAGUGUCACGUGGCAUCUGCAAACAGGAGAAAGUCUCAGAGCUCAGAAGGGGUGCCAAUGCAGAAGUCAAUGUGGAAUUUUCUACAUGGUAAUUUCCAUGUGAAAUUCAGAAAGUGGUCACUAGGUGGCAGGAUUAACAUUUGCAAAAUAACUUGCCAAGUGUAGGAACUAAUCAGAUACCAGCUGGUGCCCAAAACCAAACUUCCUGGUCCGCCCAGGGAGUUUCCUGUGCCAGUGUGACCAGCAAGGAGAAGAACACUAUAAACUGGUUGUUUUGGGUCACUGUUUAAUGUAAACUGAUUAGCCUAUGGUUAUUUAGUCUCCUGUCUCUUUGGCCUCUAAAACUAUGUUGUCGGAUAAAGUAGACACUAGUCACAUGGACCUCUUUGAGCACCUGAAAUGUGACUAGUGCAAAUGAGAAACUAAUACUUAAUUGUAUUUUCUUUAAUUCAUGUAAAUAUAAAAGCUGAUAUUCUAUUUCAAUUAUUGGAAAAACUCUCAAUUAUGCUUGAAACAACUUGAGUAUGUCAAUCCCAAGUUGAAUCCUUUUUAACCAUAAAUUUUCUGAAAUCUAAAUACAGACCAAGAAUUUCCAAACAAAAUGUACUAUGAAAUUGAGAUCUGGUAUAAGGGUAAAAUAUACAUCAUGAAAAAUAAAAGGUAAAUAUCUCAUAAAUAUUUUACACUGACUGCAAUGAUUUUUACAUUGCAUGGAAUUAAAUAUAAAAUUUUGAUAUAUGAGAUGAAAAUGCAUUACCAAAACCAACUUCACAUAGUAUUUAUUUUUAUUGUAGGUGUCUUAGCCUGCUGUAACAGAAUACCAUCAACUAACUAGUUUGUUUAAACAACAUCUACUUCUCACAGCUCUGGAGGCUGAAAGUCUAAAAUCAGGGAGUGACGGAUUCAGUGUCUGGUGAGGAUCCUCUUCCUAGUUGGAGACAGCUACCUUCUUACUCUAUUUUCACUUGGUGCAGAGAGAGAUCAUCUCUCUUGUGUCCCUUAAAAGGGCACAAAUCACAUCACAGUCUCCACCCUCACGAUCUAAUGACUUCUCCAAAGCUCUACCUACAAAUGCUAUCAAAUUGGAAAUACAGUCUUUAAUACAUGAAUUUUGAAGAGACAUAAACAUGCAGUCUAUAACAGUGGGCUACAAGAAAAUUAAAAAUUACUUAGGUGGUUCCCAUUGUUUCUCAGAAGGAUGUGUCAAGUUUCCUAUGCAAUAGAGCUUUUGUUAAUGUAACAUGAGGGACUAGAGAACAUAGGUCAGGAAACGGCUAAGGAAUGAGGUUGAGCUGGGUGGGGGGCUCCACAGAGCAGUGGGCUGGCAUUCCCCUACUUUGACCCACUCUUAAAGCAUGACACCCUGACCAAAUGGGUUUUUUGUUUUGCUUUGUUUUGUUUUUGUUUUUGUUUUUGUUUUUGUUUUUUCAUUUCUAGCCCAAAGAGACAGAAGAUCCAAGUCCUGGGGAGACAAGGUGGCUGGGAAGGGUCUUUCAAAAUUAACCCAGAGCUUUUUCUGUAUACAGUCCCCCACUUCGAAAGCUAGACCCCUCUCUGUUCUCAGGGCACUGGUCUCAGCUCAGAUACUGUCCUAAGAGAGGCUUUUCAAAAGGGGUAGGGGGAGCAGAGAAGAGAGUUCGAAGGUUUCUUCAAAGCAUUGGGAAAAGCUGGUUGUUCUGAUGGUUUUUUUCUCUUCUUCAAACUUCCUUGUCACCUUCCCUCUCCUGUUUUAUCUCUAGUGUCAAACUCCUUAGGUUCAAACCCUACACAUCCCUGAAUGACUGAACAAGUUAUUGAGUUUCCUUGUGUUUCUUUACCCAGAAAAGACUACUCAGAGUGUACUCAUAAAGAUUAAAUGAAAAAAUAUCUGUGAAGUACUUAAAACAGUACCUGGGCAUAAUAAACACUAUGCAGUAGAUAUUAUUAUUUUCUCAUAACUUUUUUUUUCAACUUCCUCAUGAAGGUGAUAAAGAGUUGGCAUUCUAAGUCACAAUUUAAAAAAAAAAAAACUAACUAAAAAGCAAAAAUACUUCCAAUCCCAAUUUUGCAGCUGAGAGUAUAAAGAAAAAAAAUAACAGGUCAACAAAAAGUACAUCUAUUCUGCAACUGUGAACCAUGGUCAGGCUGGUAGAUUUCUAGGUAGAAUAGGCCACCUCCUGCCCUGGGAAGAACCCAGAUCCUCAGCUAUCCAGAUUUCUGCUCCAUCUCCUGCAGAAAAAACAGCCAUCAGCUUGUGCAGAGCAACCUGUCACAGGUCUUAAUGGCGGUGGUAGCUCAGUCAUUUGUAUUAGCACAUUUUGACAUGACAGCUGACUUCUCCAGACACUACAAAACUGUACUGCCCCUGCUCAGGCUCUACACCUUCUCAGAAAAACCACAGCUUGGGAUAGCUCUAAGACAAUUCCAGCACUGACUCUGACAUUAUUGGCUCAUACGAAGCAAACACUGUCAUUUGUUUGGUUUAUUUCUGGCUCCCGAAUACUUACCUUGCAUACGUUUCAAAUCUGUAAGUCAGCCUCACUUUACACAGCAGAUAUGGGCAUAGUUAAAUUUUGAAAAAUCAGGUCAUCCAAAAAUGCACUAGAUUUGGCUACAGUUUAAAGGAGGGUGUCCUGCAGUCACAGAUAAACUGAGUCCUUUGUUAAAGGACUAAUUUCAUGAGUGUAACAAAUUUCAAAGUGUUACAAACGGUAGAUUUUUUUAAAAAUGAAUUAAACUAUAUUUAGAAAGUGAAAAGGAAGUUUUAGAAUUUCCUCUUUCUCCUUCCCCUUUUUUUUUUUUUAAUAGACCUUCAAUGCGAGGGAACUGCAUUCCAAAGAGGAAGACUAUGUUAGAACUGAAGCUAUAAUCACAAUUUUUCCCGUUCUCAGCCACUGUUGAUUGCAUCUCCAUGUAAAGAUUUUUUUUUUUUCCUCUAACCUUGUUGUUUAUUUAUGGCUGAUCUUAUCACAAUCUAUGUUUAUCUAGAAAUACAAAAUGGAUUUUCUCUCUCCUGUUGAAAAUCCCAAGACCAGUUCUUGGCUUCCUGUUUUCUUCUCCACAGGUUCCAGGUGCUUGCAUCUUAUUUUAAAAAGGAAAAGCCUAGGGGCACCUGGGUAGCUCAGUGGGUUAAAGCCUCUGCCUUCAGCUCGGGUCAUGAUCCCAGGGUCCUGGGAUCGAGCCCCACAUCAGGCUCUCUGCUGGGCAGGGAGCCUGUUUCCUCCUCUCUCUCUCUCUGCCUGCCUCUCUGCCUACUUGUGAUCUCUGUCUGUCAAAUAAAGUAAAUAAAAUCUUUAAAAAAGGGAAAAAAAAGAAAAGCCUAAAAAAAAGGAAAAGCCUAAAGCUAAAUGGGUACCAUCUUGGAGGUAAACUGCCUAUCGUGUUGGUCAAUGUCGGGGCUGGGGGACAGGGUACAUCUCAGGUAUUUGGGGCCCUCUACUCCUGACUUCCCUCCAGCCAGGCACAAGCCCCUGGCCAGGCUCAGCAGACCACUGGGUCCCAGCCCUGGAAAUGGAGGCAGCUCAAGCCUUUUCCUUUGUCACCAUGCUGGCUACUGACUUGACCGGGCAUCUGGGCAACCCCACAGUGUCUUGGAAGAAUGCGGACCUAUGGAGAGAAAACACAUGGGUGCUGCUUGGGCCUUCCAGAGACAAAGACCAGAAAAAAAAUAUUCUGAAGAGCAAGGGAUACAUGGGGUGCUAGGAUGAUGAAAAGCCGUCACUGAAGUCGAGGCUCAAAAGUAGAAAGAAGUAUAAAAAUCCAAGAGGAAGAAAAGUGUGAGAGAAAGAUAAUUGAAACAAGAACUGAACACCAACAAAACAGACAAACUUUACGAGAAAAAGGGUUUCAGAAAGGAAAUACAAGAGAAGUGGAGUGGGAGCCAGGCGUGGAAGUAAGGGCUCCUGUACGGGGACGUUAAGGAAAAGGACCAAGAGGCCUUUCCCUGAGCAGAGUCCAGGGGAACUGCAGGGCUCCGACUCAUUUACUCUCUGUACUGAUGAAUUCCUGCGAUUGUGUUUGGUUUUGUCUGGUUUUGUAGGUCACCGCCCCUGGUAACUUGGUACAAACUUAAAAACAUGAUUAAUUGGGAAUGCAAGCUGGUGCAACCUCUCUGGAAAACAACAUGGAGGUUCCUCAAAAUGUUGAAAAUAGAACUGCCCUAUGACCCAGCAAUAGCACUACUGGGUAUUAACCCUAAAGAUACAAACGUAGUGAUCUGAAGGGGCACAUGUACCUGAAUGUUUAUAGCAGCAAUGUCCACAAUAGCCAAACUAUGGAAAGAACCUAGAUGUCCAUCAACAGAUGAAUGGAUCAAGAAGAUGUGGUAUAUAUACACAAUGGAAUACUGUGCAGCCAUCAAAAGAAAUGAAAUCUUGCCAUUUGCGACGACGUGGAUGGAACUAGAGCGUAUCAUGCUUAGCGAAAUAAGUCAAGCGGAGAAAGACAACUAUCAUAUGAUCUCCCUGAUAUGAGGAAGUGGUGAUGCAACAUGGGGGCUUAAGUGGGUAGGAGAUGAAUCAAUGAAACAAGAUGGGAUUGGGAGGGAGAC